rnacentral:rRNA from 1 species
UGGGGAAUAUUGCACAAUGGGCGAAAGCCUGAUGCAGCAACGCCGCGUGAGUGAUGAAGGUCUUCGGAUUGUAAAGCUCUGUCUUUUGGGACGAUAAUGACGGUACCAAAGGAGGAAGCCACGGCUAACUACGUGCCAGCAGCCGCGGUAAUACGUAGGUGGCGAGCGUUGUCCGGAUUUACUGGGCGUAAAGGGUGCGUAGGCGGAUGUUUAAGUGAGAUGUGAAAUACCCGGGCUUAACUUGGGUGCUGCAUUUCAAACUGGAUAUCUAGAGUGCAGGAGAGGAGAAUGGAAUUCCUAGUGUAGCGGUGAAAUGCGUAGAGAUUAGGAAGAACACCAGUGGCGAAGGCGAUUCUCUGGACUGUAACUGACGCUGAGGCACGAAAGCGUGGGUAGCAAACAGGAUUAGAUACCCUGGUAGUCCACGCCGUAAACG